rnacentral:lncRNA from 1 species
AGGGGGCAGUGCCCUCUCACUUGGGCCAAGCUGUCUCUGCGGGCAUUAGAAUCUAAUGCUGGGAGAUCACCUUCCAGGAUCAAAUUAUUACAAGAAUACGGAGAAUAAAAGCCCUAAGCACUGUCUCCCUCCCCGGCUAAACCCACACGUUUAAAGGAGGGUCCCAGGCUAUGCAGAAAUGGACCACCGAUAUGAAGACAACCCUUCCUGGGAAAACCAAACCGCACCUGCUUCCCCCCAAGGAGAGAUAGAAGACCCUCCCUGUGAGUGUCCAGAUCGUGGAGUAAGAGCCGUAAAACCAGAAGUGCCACAAUCCAUGGAAAGCCAGACACCGCAUUGUUUCAGUGAAACCACCAAGUCUAUCUGAAAGCUUGUUUUUACCGUUGAUUGGAAGUGGUGAAGGUUUCUGAUACGAACGCAGUGGCUAGGAGCAGCAGUGCUGUCUGUGGCAGACGGACGCUUUCGAUUUUAAUCAUGAGUGGCGGAAGGAAGCGGCCGGGGCUGGAGAAUCGAGCUGGAGAAAAAGUGACAGGGAAA